rnacentral:rRNA from 1 species
AGCAGUCUGAUGGAGCACGCCGCGUGAGUGAAGAAGGCUUUCGGGUCGUAAAACUCUGUUGUUGGAGAAGAAUGGUCGGCAGAGUAACUGUUGUCGGCGUGACGGUAUCCAACCAGAAAGCCACGGCUAACUACGUGCCAGCAGCCGCGGUAAUACGUAGGUGGCAAGCGUUAUCCGGAUUUAUUGGGCGUAAAGCGAGCGCAGGCGGUUUUUUAAGUCUGAUGUGAAAGCCCUCGGCUUAACCGAGGAAGUGCAUCGGAAACUGGGAAACUUGAGUGCAGAAGAGGACAGUGGAACUCCAUGUGUAGCGGUGAAAUGCGUAGAUAUAUGGAAGAACACCAGUGGCGAAGGCGGCUGUCUGGUCUGUAACUGACGCUGAGGCUCGAAAGCAUGGGUAGCGAACAGGAUUAGAUACC